AUUGAACGCUGGCGGCAUGCUUUACACAUGCAAGUCGAACGGCAGCGCGGGGCAACCUGGCGGCGAGUGGCGAACGGGUGAGUAAUAUAUCGGAACGUACCCAGAAGUGGGGGAUAACGUAGCGAAAGUUACGCCAAUACCGCAUACGAUCUACGGAUGAAAGUGGGGGACCUUCGGGCCUCAUGCUUGUGGAGCGGCCGAUAUCUGAUUAGCUAGUUGGUAGGGUAAAGGCCUACCAAGGCGACGAUCAGUAGCUGGUCUGAGAGGACGACCAGCCACACUGGGACUGAGACACGGCCCAGACUCCUACGGGAGGCAGCAGUGGGGAAUUUUGGACAAUGGGCGCAAGCCUGAUCCAGCAAUGCCGCGUGAGUGAAGAAGGCCUUCGGGUUGUAAAGCUCUUUUGUCAGGGAAGAAACGGCGAUUUCUAAUAAAGAUUGCUAAUGACGGUACCUGAAGAAUAAGCACCGGCUAACUACGUGCCAGCCGCCGCCGUAA
rnacentral:rRNA from 1 species